AAGGGUGAAAUCUGUAUGAGACUUAAAAUUUAAACUAAACUAACAAAUUUAAGAAAUAAACUAGGAUUAGAUACCCUACUAUACUUAAACGAAACUCGAAACUACCUGAUUAGUAACAGCUAUGUACUCUAAAUUCAAAGAAUUUGGCGGUAUUUUAUUCUUAUUAGGGGAACCUGUCUCUUAAACGAUAAACCACGCAAAAUCUAACCUGAGUUUGUAUACCGUCAUUGAAAUAACCUUUAAAGAGGUAGUUAUUGAAAUAAAUAAUUUUAGAAUGUUAGAUCAAGGUGCAGCAAAUAAACAGGCGCAGAUGGGUUACAUUAUAAUUUAUAUAUCACGGAAUAGCUCUUAUAAGGCGGACUUAAAAGUAAAAUUAGUUCAAUAAGCUAAUUUGAUUCCAGCUCUAAAAUAUGCACAUAUCGCCCGUCGCUUUU
rnacentral:rRNA from 1 species